rnacentral:rRNA from 1 species
UACGUAGGGUGCGAGCGUUGUCCUGAAUUAUUGGGCGUAAAGAGCUCGUAGGCGGUCUGUCGCGUCGGUCGUGAAAACUUGGGGCUUAACCCUGAGCUUGCGGUCGAUACGGGCAUGACUGGAGUUCGGCAGGGGAGACUGGAAUUCCUGGUGUAGCGGUGAAAUGCGCAGAUAUCAGGAGGAACACCGGUGGCGAAGGCGGGUCUCUGGGCCGAUACUGACGCUGAGGAGCGAAAGCGUGGGGAGCGAACAGG